UUGAACGCUGGCGGCAGGCCUAACACAUGCAAGUCGAGCGGAUGAAGGGAGCUUGCUCCUGGAUUCAGCGGCGGACGGGUGAGUAAUGCCUAGGAAUCUGCCUGGUAGUGGGGGAUAACGUCCGGAAACGGGCGCUAAUACCGCAUACGUCCUGAGGGAGAAAGUGGGGGAUCUUCGGACCUCACGCUAUCAGAUGAGCCUAGGUCGGAUUAGCUAGUUGGUGGGGUAAAGGCCUACCAAGGCGACGAUCCGUAACUGGUCUGAGAGGAUGAUCAGUCACACUGGAACUGAGACACGGUCCAGACUCCUACGGGAGGCAACAGUGGGGAAUAUUGGACAAAGGGCGAAAGCCUGAUCCAGCCAUGCCGCGUGUGUGAAGAAGGUCUUCGGAUUGUAAAGCACUUUAAGUUGGGAGGAAGGGCAGUAAGUUAAUACCUUGCUGUUUUGACGUUACCAACAGAAUAAGCACCGGCUAACUUCGUG
rnacentral:rRNA from 1 species